CAAAAAAGUCAUUUUUGCUACUGUUUAUGUUUGAUUGAAGGAAAACCAGCUGCCUUGGAAGACAAAACUAAUCCAGAUGUGUUGCCAACGGAAAUUUAGGAAACAUUUGUAGUUUCUAACCAGGUCAAUCUGCCUGCCUACCCCCUAUUUAAAAGGUUUUUAAAAAGAGCUGGAAUGAAGCCAGAUGUCCGAGCUGAAGUUGUUUCUGCAUGGUGCACAAGAAUUUGAUGGUGUUUCACAAUUUAUUGAAGAAAUUUGAGCAAAGCAGAUUUAUGGAAGCUGUGUUAGUGAGUCAGUUCAAACUGAUGUACCUAACUGAAGAAUAUUCAAGUCGUGUUUUUCAGAAUUUAGAUUUUUCUAGAGAGAAUUCAAUAAUGUACACCUUGCAAGCAAAAGUUCAAGUGAUGGAUGUAAAUGAGAAUUAUGUUAAAAAUAAAUGCUUUAUCCCUAA